rnacentral:rRNA from 1 species
AGCUCCAAUAGCGUAUAUUUAAGUUGUUGCAGUUAAAAAGCUCGUAGUUGGAUUUCGGGUGGGCCCUGCGGUCCGCCUUUUGGUGAGCACUGCAUGGGCCCACCUUGCUGUCGGGGACCGAUUACUGGACUUCAGUGCCCGGUGUCGGGAGUCGACGAGGUUACUUUGAGUAAAUUAGAGUGUUCAAAGCAGGCCUACGCUCUGAAUACAUUAGCAUGGAAUAACACGAUAGGACUCUGGCCUAUCUUGUUGGUCUGUGGGACCGGAGUAAUGAUUAAGAGGGACAGUCGGGGGCAUUCGUAUUUCAUUGUCAGAGGUGAAAUUCUUGGAUUUAUGAAAGACGAACUUCUGCGAAAGCAUUUGCCAAGGAUGUUUUCA